rnacentral:rRNA from 1 species
AUACUCCUGACUGACCGAUAGUGAACCAGUACCGUGAGGGAAAGGCGAAAAGAACCCCGGCGAGGGGAGUGAAAAAGAACCUGAAACCGUGUACGUACAAGCAGUGGGAGCACAGGUUUACCUGUGUGACUGCGUACCUUUUGUAUAAUGGGUCAGCGACUUAUAUUCUGUAGCAAGGUUAACCGAAUAGGGGAGCCGCAGGGAAACCGAGUCUUAAUUGGGCGUUAAGUUGCAGGGUAUAGACCCGAAACCCGGUGAUCUAGCCAUGGGCAGGUUGAAGGUUGGGUAACACUAACUGGAGGACCGAACCGACUAAUGUUGAAAAAUUAGCGGAUGACCUGUGGCUGGGGGUGAAAGGCCAAUCAAACCGGGAGAUAGCUGGUUCUCCCCGAAAGCUAUUUAGGUAGCGCCUCGUGAAUUCAUCUCCGGGGGUAGAGCACUGUUUCGGCUAGGGGGCCAUCCCGGCUUACCAACCCGAUGCAAACUGCGAAUACCGGAGAAUGUUAUCACGGGAGACACACGGCGGGUGCUAACGUCCGUCGUGAAGAGGGAAACAACCCAGACCGCCAGCUAAGGUCCCAAAGUCAUGGUUAAGUGGGAAACGAUGUGGGAAGGCCCAGACAGCCAGGAUGUUGGCUUAGAAGCAGCCAUCAUUUAAAGAAAGCGUAAUAGCUCACUGGUCGAGUCGGCCUGCGCGGAAGAUGUAACGGGGCUAAACCAUGCACCGAAGCUGCGGCAGCGACGCUGAUGCGUUGUUGGGUAGGGGAGCGUUCUGUAAGCCUGUGAAGGUGGCCUGUGAGGGUUGCUGGAGGUAUC